AACGAACGCUGGCGGCAUGCCUAACACACGCAAGUCGAACGGGACCUUCGGGUCUAGUGGCGCACGGGUGCGUAACGCGUGGGAACCUGCCCUUAGGUUCGGAAUAACUCCCCGAAAGGGGUGCUAAUACCGGAUAAUGUCUUCGGACCAAAGAUUUAUCGCCUUUGGAUGGGCCCGCGUUGGAUUAGCUAGUUGGUAGGGUAAAAGCCUACCAAGGCGACGAUCCAUAGCUGGUCUGAGGGGAUGAUCAGCCACACUGGGACUGAGACACGGCCCAGACUCCUACGGGAGGCAGCAGUGGGGAAUAUUGGACAAUGGGCGAAAGCCUGAUCCAGCAAUGCCGCGUGAGUGAUGAAGGCCUUAGGGUUGUAAAGCUCUUUUACCCGGGAUGAUAAUGACAGUACCGGGAGAAUAAGCUCCGGCUAACUCCGUG
rnacentral:rRNA from 1 species